UUACCUUUCUCGGUCUUUUGGCUAAGAUCAAGUGUAGUAUCUGUUCUUAUCAGUUUAAUAUCUGAUAUGUGGGCCAAUGGCUCACACGAUAUUAAAUUCAUUUUUGUAGGGGGGGGCCCACAUGGGCAGCUUGCUGCUUUGGGCCUUCAUGCGUCGCCUGUGCGUUGCACUACUGUAUGGGCCUGGCGCACCCCAC
rnacentral:snRNA from 1 species